rnacentral:rRNA from 1 species
ACGAACGCUGGCGGCUGCUUAACACAUGCAAGUCGAACGGAGUGGCGAACGGGUGAGUAACGCGUGAGCAACCUGCCUAUGACAGUGGGAUAGCCUAGGGAAACCGGGAUUAAUACCGCAUAGUCAUAGAUGGGCUCGCGUCUGAUUAGCUAGUUGGUGCGAUAACCGCCCACCAAAGCGACGAUCAGUAGCCGGGCUGAGAGGAUGGACGGCCACCUUGGAACUGAGAAACGGUCCAAACUACUACGGGAGGCAGCAGUGGGGGAUAUAGCACAAUGGGGGAAACCCUGAUGCAGCGACGCCGCGUGAACGAAGAAGGUAUUCGUAUCGGAAAGUUCGGUCCUAUGGGAAGCAGUACCAUAGAAGAAAGCUCCGGCUAAAUACGUGCCAGCAGCCGCGGUAAUUC